GACGUAGGGACCAAGCGUUGUUCGGAUUUACUGGGCGUAAAGGGCGCGUAGGCGGCGCGGGAAGUCACUUGUGAAAUCUCUGAGCUUAACUCAGAACGGCCAAGUGAAACUGUUGUGCUAGAGUGCAGAAGGGGCAAUCGGAAUUCUUGGUGUAGCGGUGAAAUGCGUAGAUAUCAAGAGGAACACCUGAGGUGAAGACGGGUUGCUGGGCUGACACUGACGCUGAGGCGCGAAAGCCAGGGGAGCAAACGGG
rnacentral:rRNA from 1 species